UGCUUCACUCAGAAAGAUUGCCUCUGGCUGUUGUGUGCAUUUGUGAUUGAAACCCCCAGUAUAUCCUGUUUCUAACACCCUCUCUACACAUUCUGUGGUAGCAGCCCAUCCUCUGUCUUACUUUCUGUUCUCUAACUGAUUUCUUUUAUAAUACCACACAUAAACGAACGUUAGAUGAUUCAAGAAAAUGAGAAUCCAACUGAUCGAAGAAUUGGUCAUGGUUACUUGCAUUUAGUGUCGUAACCAGACUGCAGCUGACCCAGUACGCUACCAUCCCUUGGAACUCCACGACUGCAGUGAGCUCCUGCCGACUUCCGGGUUUCUGACUGCUGGACGCUGCAUCUACCAAGCGAUGGGGGGAAACAGAUGAAGCACCCACUCCUGAAUCCCCAGCCAAUGCCUGGUGAGCCAAUGACUUGAUGUAUAAACUUUCCAGCUCUCCUGCCCUUGGGGUGCAGUAACCCUCCGAGUGCAUUUUGCAGGGUGUGUCAAAAUUUCCCCACGGCAUUAAACUCCAGUUACCCUCCUGGUAGCUGGCUUGACAAUCUACCCUUUGUUGGUUGCUUUCCUUUUCUUUCACGUUCUUCUACCUGUUCCCGACAACCUAAAUCAAUAUACUUGCUCUGGAAUCCUUGUCUCUG
rnacentral:lncRNA from 10 species